rnacentral:rRNA from 1 species
UCCUACGGGAGGCAGCAGUGAGGAAUAUUGGUCAAUGGGCGCGAGCCUGAACCAGCCAAGUAGCGUGAAGGAUGACCGCCCUACGGGUUGUAAACUUCUUUUAUAAAGGAAUAAAGUGAGGCACGUGUGCCUUUUUGUAUGUACUUUAUGAAUAAGGAUCGGCUAACUCCGUGCCAGCAGCCGCGGUAAUACGGAGGAUCCGAGCUUUAUCCGGAUUUAUUGGGUUUAAAGGUAGCUUAGAUGGUUUGUUAAGUCAGU